rnacentral:rRNA from 1 species
CGUGGGUAACCUGCCCAAGAGAUCGGGAUAACACCUGGAAACAGAUGCUAAUACCGGAUAACAACAGAUGAUGCCUAUCAACUGUUUAAAAGAUGGUUCUGCUAUCACUCUUGGAUGGACCUGCGGUGCAUUAGCUAGUUGGUAGGGUAACGGCCUACCAAGGCGAUGAUGCAUAGCCGAGUUGAGAGACUGAUCGGCCACAUUGGGACUGNGACACGGCCCAAACUCCUACGGGAGGCAGCAGGU